UAAUACGGAUGUGGCGAGCGUUACUCGGUUUGACUGGGUGUAAAGGGUCCGCAGGCGGCCAAAUAAGUGAAAGGUGAAAUCUUUCGGCUCAACCGAAAAACUGCCUUUCAAACUGCUUGGCUUGAGGAUGGAAGGGGAGAGUGGAACUGCCGGUGUAAAGGUGAAAUUUGUGGAUAUCGGUAGGAACGCCCGUGGAGAAGUCGGCUCUCUGGUCCAUUCCUGACGCUGAGGGACGAAAGCUAGGGGAGCAAACAGGAUUAGAUACCCUGGUAGUCCUAGCUGUAAACUAUGGGCACUAGGUGUCCGUCCGUAAGGAUGGGUGCCGCAGUUAACACAUUAAGUGCCCCACCUGGGGACUACGGCCGCAAGGCUA
rnacentral:rRNA from 1 species